AAAAUACAUGAGCAAUAAUGUUUUAUGAGUCAUCAGCUUUUUGUUUGUGAUGCAAACUUACAACAUUAAGCCAGGAAAAACACUGUCCUAAAUUAUAUACCAGGAAGAAAUCAUUAAAGGUUAUUGCAUCAAAGAGCUCUUUAUCUCUCAUUAAUUUUUUUCAUUUUAUUUUGAGUUGAAUAAGCAGUUUUCAUGCAGGGUGCUGAUGCUGGAAUAGGCAAGAUUAAAAAGAAAGAAUAAGCACAAAUUUUGACUCUUGAAUGAUGUACGAGGAGUGAGGUAAGAACUUUGUGGAAAGAUCAGAGACACAGAGAUUAACCUGUAAGUCUCUCCAUUGGCAAAAGGACAAAUCCAGAACGCUCUGCUAACGAGAAGCGAGACCAUGGAGCGAUCUCUUCAUGGCCGAGGAUGAAAGGUUCUUCCUAUAUGGUCCAGUAACUCACAAAGGAUUUGUUUCUCUAUGUGGAGAGUGUAAACCGAGGAGAGGUUUGGGACUAUUGUCCUAGGAAAUGUGGAACAGAAUUGCUGGUACAGCUGGAAGAGCAAUCACUGCCCAAUAGAGUUCUACACUGGCUUGGAGAAGAGGGAUUAAGUACAAACUAGAGGUUCUUCUCUAUCGCUAAUGUCUCCACAUCUUAACUAGGCAGAGAAACUUAAAGGAGAACCUGUUUCUGCUGGUCCUAGAGCAGGAGGCAGGCGUUCCACGGCUUUCCGACACGAACCGUUCGCUGCAAGAGAUUCUCCAAACCUGCUUCACCGGAGAAAAGUGACCACAAUCUCCUGCUCACACCCUCACUCCGUGUCAGGGCCAUGGAUUGGAAGCACUAUCACUGUGGCAAGUAAACCAUCCCACUUAGUGAAGGACCGAAUUAUCCCAGAAUUCAUUGAUCGACCCAUCAUUUUAUUGCUCUUAUGCUCCUUAUUUGUGUUGAAAAGAUGCCUCCCCUUAUCUUUGCCUCCUUGGACGUUGCUUGUCCAGCACGAUGAAAGCCAGCAGCAUUCCACCGGUAUCUCCGGCGGGCUGGAGACAGAGAGGUUUGCUCAGACUGAUUUGCUCAAAGACAACGUGACUGUGGAAGAGUCUGAGGUCACCCAGGUCUGCAGCGCUCAGUGCUGUGCUCCACUCCCUCCCUUCAUACGAAAAGCUCAGAAUAGGUGAAAACUCUAAUAAACUGAUUGUGCAUAGGAA